AGCGAACGCUGGCGGCAGGCCUAACACAUGCAAGUCGAACGAACCUUUCGGGGUUAGUGGCGGACGGGUGAGUAACACGUGGGAACGUGCCUUUAGGUUCGGAAUAACUCAGGGAAACUUGUGCUAAUACCGAAUGUGCCCUUCGGGGGAAAGAUUUAUCGCCUUUAGAGCGGCCCUCGUCUGAUUAGCUAGUUGGUUGAGGUAAUGGCUCACCAAGGCGACGAUCAGUAGCUGGUCUGAGAGGAUGAUCAGCCACAUUGGGACUGAGACACGGCCCAAACUCCUACGGGAGGCAGCAGUGGGGAAUCUUGCGCAAUGGGCGAAAGCCUGACGCAGCCAUGCCGCGUGAAUGAUGAAGGUCUUAGGAUUGUAAAAUUCUUUCACCGGGGACGAUAAUGACGGUACCCGGAGAAGAAGCCCCGGCUAACUUCGUG
rnacentral:rRNA from 1 species